AGAGUUUGAUUAUGGCUCAGGACGAACGCUGGCGGCGUGCCUAACACAUGCAAGUCGAACGGGGUUACAUUGAGGAAGUUUUCGGAUGGAAUUGAUGUAAUCUAGUGGCGAACGGGUGAGUAACGCGUGAGUAACCUGCCUCGAAGAGGGGGAUAACAACGAGAAAUCGUUGCUAAUACCGCAUAAGACCACAGGGCCGCAUGGUCCAGGGGUCAAAACUCCGGUGCUUUGAGAUGGACUCGCGUCCCAUUAGGUAGUUGGUGAGGUAACGGCCCACCAAGCCGACGAUGGGUAGCCGAGCUGAGAGGCUGAUCGGCCACACUGGGACUGAGACACGGCCCAG
rnacentral:rRNA from 1 species